rnacentral:lncRNA from 1 species
CAAAAAUUGGCAGAAAUUAUAUUCUGUAUACGAGAGAAUGAAGAGUAUACUCAUGACUAAGCACAGGAACCUGGAAAACCACAGGAUUCCUGGGAAGCCACGGAGGAUGGGGUGAACUCAGAGCUGGAGCAUGAGGAGUUCUUUGGAACUUGUGAAUGGGAAGUUAUCCUGGUAAGAAGUGACCAAGUGCCACCACCACUGUGUUUAUAAAUACAUUUGGCUGUUCUUGUUUUUCUUUAGGUUCUAGGAAGGCUUUCUGUCUAAACCUUUAAAUUGCUUCUGAGAGAACAUGGUGAUCCCACAAAUGUUCACAGAUGACCAAGUCACCUUGUACAAAGUGAGAACACAUUUGCAGGCAGUUUAUUUCACUGACCAUCAUGUUAUUGCUCAUCACUUACUUAUGUAUGGUGACCCGCUUAAGCAUAGCUGGGGUGGAUGAAGUGUGCAGAACUAAGGCAUGUAUGGCCACGUAAUUCUCAUUGUUAUCACUUAUUAAGCAAAACAGCUAAGCAGUUCAUCCAACUUAAAUGUGGCUAUUUACAAAGGCUUUGAAAUUUUUUUUUCUGAUGUAGUACAGGUCAGCAUAUGCUUGUGGCUUUGUCAAACACUGCUGAGUUCAUUAGUUUGUGCCGAUGUGUUGAGAACAGAAAAUGAAAAUGUUACGGGUACAAAAUUUUAAUGUGGUCUCCCAUUACAUCAAGUGUUUGCCAAAAUAUUAAAUAAAACUGUUAACUAAGCAACGUGCUGCUCAAGAGUUCAAUCUACA